CUCAAACUUAAUUGGCAAGGACAUACCCCCCAGCUAGCUGUGCGGGCAGGAGGGAAGCUGUUUGCUGGCCCAAAUCCCAAGUGGCACUGAGGUAAGAACACCUCCCCACCAAACUCACACACCACAUAAUCCCACCCACACAUUCCUACACAACCAAUCACAAGCAUCUAUCCCCACACUCCUACAUGUGCCCUUGUCCGCUUAGCUGCGCUAUCUCCCCAGGGCCUGACAUUUGAUUUAAUUUUCGCAGGUGGAAAGGACUUACUCAUGUCUAUUUCCUAGUACAUUGCAUUUAAAUGCUGUCGAAGAGCAAUCAAUAAAGUGGUGAAAUCAGUCUGACUGGAAUCCCUCAAUGAUUAAGCAAUGCAACACGGGGACUACAGGCAAUCAGG